CCAAGUUCUAGCGAAGGAGCUGGAGUAGUUUAUCUCGGCCAAGCAAGGAAUCUUCCACAGCCUGUAAACUAGUGGUCCCUGCUGUGUAUGCAUGCAACUUGGGCGGUGGGUAGCCAUAUACAGAUUCAAAGGGAGUCAAUUUCGUAGCCAUGUGGUAGUUUGUGUUAUACCACCAUUCAGCCAACGGUAGCCACUUAGCCCAUUCUCCUGGCUUGUCUCCUGAGAAGCAUCGUAGAUACUGUUCUAAGCAUUUGUUUACAAUCUCAAUUUGACCAUCAGAUUGAGGAUGGUAAGCUGAGCUAAAACAAAGUGUAGUCCCUUGUAAUUUGAAUAGCUCCUUCCAGAACAUAGAUGUGAAUGUUUUGUCCCUAUCUGUAACUAUGGAACUUGGCAUGCCAUGAAGUUUAAAGAUAUGGGAUAAGAAUAUAUGUGCGAUUUUGGCUGCAGUAUAUGGGUGGGCUAGAGAAAUAAAGUGGGCAUAUUUUGAUAAGCGAUCAACCACUACCAAGAUAGUUGUAUGGCUGUUAGAAUGAGGAAGUCCAUCGAUAAAAUCCAUGGAUAUAUCAGUCCAUACCUGGGUAGGAAUUGGUAGCAGUUGAAGAAGUCCAGCUGGUAAAACAGUCUCGGUUUUAUUUCUUUGGCAUGUGUCACACUCUUUCACAUACUGCUUCAAUUCUUUUUGCAUGCCUGGCCAAAUGAACUCCGCCCUUGCCCUUUUUAGUAUCUUUAGAUAGCCCGAGUGUCCUCCCAUAGGGCUGUUAUGAACGUAGUACUUUAUCUUAUCCUUAAUUGUAGGAUUAGAACCUACAUAGAUUCUGCCUUUAUAUAUCAGUAACCCAUUCCUUAGAGAGUACAAGUUAGAAUCCAGUUUUCCUUCCCUGAAUUGUUGCAACUUCAACUGUAAAGUAGGGUCAUCUUCAUAGCUUUUCUUCAAAUCUUCCUUCCAUGUUAACUAAGGAGAGGUUAUAGCAAGUAACUGGCCCUCAUCAUUUUCUAUUUCCCUUCUAGAUAAGGCAUCAGCAACCUUGUUUUCUCUUCCUGGCCUGUACUCUACCUUCAUAUCAUAACCCAACAGCUUGGUAAGCCAUUUUUGUUGCUGUGGUGUACCUAUCCUCUGCUCCAAAAGGUAUUUCAAGCUCUGCUGGUCAGUUUGUACAGUGAAUGAGUGACCAAACAGGUAGGGCCGCCACUUUUUUACUGCCAAUACCACUGCCAUGAGCUCCUUUUCAUAGGUAGAGAGCUGUAGUGCCUUCCCUUUGAUUGCAUGACUCAUGAAUGCUAAUGGCCUCCCCUGUUGCAUCAAAACCGCCCCUAUACCCUGUCCACUAGCAUCACAUUGAAUCAUAAAGGGUAAAUCAAAGUUAGGGAGAGCCAACACAGGGGGACUAGUUAUUGCUUGAUUUAAAUUUAAAAAUGCCUCUUCAGCACUAUCAGUCCAAUGGAAGGAAUUUUUCUUUUGAAGGGCUGUGAGAGGGGCAGCUACUUGGCCAUAACCUUUAAUAAAUUUCCUGUAGUAGCCAGUAAGGCCUAAGAACCCUCUUAAAGAUUUUAUGGAUGUUGGGAAUGGCCAAUUAAGCAUGGCUUCCAACUUGCUAGGAUCCGCCCUUACCCCUCCUAUAGAGAUGAUAUGGCCUAGGUAAUCAAUUUCUGGACAACAGAAUUUACAUUUGGACAUUUUAGCGAAUAACAGGUGCUGUUGAAGAGUUUCUGGGACAGACUUGAGGUGGAAUAGAUGUUCCGUCAUGUUCUUGCUGUAUAUGAGUAUAUCAUCAAAGAAUACAAGCAAAAACUUUCUAAGGAAUGGUUUAAAUAUGUCAUUCCUGGGACUUUGAAAGGUGGAAGGGGGAUUAGUUAGUCCAAAGGGCAUAACAAAAAAUUCGUAAUGGCCUUCAUGAGUCCUAAAGGCAGUUUUUGAAAUGUCAUUUUCAGCCACCCUAAUUUGAUGAUAUCCGGACCUUAGGUCUAACUUAGAAAAGAUUGUGGCACCAUGUAACUCAUCUAAGAGUUCAUCAACUAUAG
rnacentral:lncRNA from 1 species